rnacentral:rRNA from 1 species
UACAGAGGUCCCAAGCGUUGUUCGGAUUCACUGGGCGUAAAGGGUGCGUAGGCGGUCGGGUAAGUCUGACGUGAAAUCUUCAAGCUCAACUUGGAAACUGCGUCGGAUACUAUUCGGCUCGAGGAAUGGAGGGGAGACUGGAAUACUUGGUGUAGCAGUGAAAUGCGUAGAUAUCAAGUGGAACACCAGUGGCGAAGGCGAGUCUCUGGACAUUUCCUGACGCUGAGGCACGAAAGCCAGGGGAGCAAACGGG